CUUCAAGACUUUUCUUCUCUAAUUUGGGUAGCACAACACUCCUCUUGUGUUUUCUUGAACACCCUCCUCCCUUGGCUUGUCUUUCUCUACCUUUCUUAUCUCUUUGUCUUCCUUUACUAUCUUCCUAAGCCCUUGUCCCAAUUCAAACUUGCCCUUACUAUAUUUGGACUUAUCCUAACAAGGAAAGGAAGAAAGAAAUUGGACAAACUAGAGAUAAAUGUAAGAAAGAAAAGAUAGACUUCUGAAUACCAAAACAUCGGAGACUCCAUGCUAUUUAUAAUUAGCGUGGAGAUGCCUAUCAACAGGUGUUAUCCAAUCCACAUGCCCCAAAUCAAAUUUCAGAGGUCUUUCCACAUCCUAAAUAAAGGAAAAGUCAUAUCUGAUAAGAGUCCUUCUGUAGGUGAAACUCUCUUAUCAGAUACGAUGUUUUAAUCUUCUUUCGCGCACGCCCAAUAAAAGAUGCGAUAAGCAUCUUUUUGUUAAUCAGAUUAUUUUCAAACUUUUACACAUAGAAACUCUUUCCUUAAAUGUAUAAAAAUCAAAAGAUUAUCUGAUAUAAGUGAUGUCUAAGAGAC
rnacentral:lncRNA from 1 species